UGCCAGCCAGCCUAUUUAUGUUAAUCAUUUUUGUGUUAUCGUUGUCGUCGUCGUCGUCGUCGUCGUCGUCAUCAUCAUCAUCAUCAUCAUUAUUGUGCCAGUCAUAAAUGACAGUCUUUGGUGUUGUCCGGGUUGAAUCUGAAGCUCGCUGUUUGGGCUGGCUGGCCAGUGAACCCCCAGGAUCCGCUCGUCUCUGCUCCAUGACGUUGAGGCUGCAGACAUCUGAUGCCAUGCUUGGCUUUUACAAGGGUGCUAGAGAUUUGAGCUUGGGUUCUGGUGUUCGCACAUGUACAAGCUUCUUACUGAGCCCUGUCCCAGCGUCUGUUCUACGGUGAAACAACCGAGCAUGUAACUGGAGUCAGGGUGGAAAAGUUGUGUGACUGUUUGCAGUAGAACAAAGGAGUGUGGUCAGGGUGGAAAACUGGCUGAAUUAAGCAAUCGGUACAAGAAUUUCCCACUUGUGACUUAGGGCCAUAAACUACAGUGAGGCUUGGAUGCUGCAGGAGUGUGCCAACUGCUCGAGUGGUUAGUGAGAUGUGCUGAUCCUGGGAGCAUGAAGAUUCAGCUCUCCCGGUUCGGGUCCCUGGAGUCAUUCCUGUGCCCUUGGAGGAAGAUGAAGGAUUCCCCCUCACCUUUGUUAUCACAGAUAUUUCGGCAUUGCUGCAGUCAUUGUUACUGCCGCACGUGUCCCGUCCGACCACAGCCUGCGCUCCUACCCUCUGUGCACCGCUGCUUGCCGGAGAAGACUGGACUCCAGCUGUUACCCUUGCCCCUCCUCAUUCCCCUGGCAACUGUUGCCCCUGUGACUGGUGUUGCCAUUUUUCAGUCUGUGGCUUCACAAGAAUGCCAUCUGUGUGAAACUGCUGGAGACCAGGGAACUGUGCUCUGGUUAUGUGGAUCUCCAACAUGUUCCAUUGCCUGCUGGUUGUUCCAGAGAAGGAUGGCCAAUCCUGAACUGUCCUGGGAAAGACUUUGGCAUUUUCGCUGCUAUUGUAGCAGUCAUUUACUGCUGCAGUCACUGGAUCUGCAGUGUCUGGAGUUACCCUCUCCCAAUCUAUUGUUAGGCAAGCACAGUGGGUAAACUUUCUGGAGUAGUUGUUGACAAAUGGGAAUUCUAAAUUUUAAUACAGGAAUGGCUUGACAAUGACCCUCAGUGUUAUGGCCCUCCGAGUUUCAGCCCUAGGGCACCGCACUAAUCGGCCUUGUGCUUCUUAUCAUAUGCACAAACAGCACUCCCAGUCCCGGGCAGCAACUAAGCAGGUGUUGUUCUCCUUGGUAGGAGACAAACCUUCUGCCCAAAUUGGGCUCAGCCUUCACAAGAAGCAGUUAGCUGAGGAUGGGGAACUCUUUGGGACCAGUCCUUGCCUAAGACAGGAAAUUCUGAGACUGGCAGAAUUUUCCAGAGAUGGGAAAGAGGCUUGAUAGCUCAAAGUGUCCUAAGACAGGCGCUGCUUAAAAUUAAUAUAGGGGGACUUGCUUAAUAAAAAAAUAAAAUAGGGGA
rnacentral:sRNA from 1 species